AACCAGAGGUGUGGCAGACCCAAAACACACAGCCACAAAUCUUUGAGAUGAACAUUUACCGGGUGUUAAUAAACAACCAUCCACAAAUGUAUUUUGGAGCAAAUUAGACAGAACAAUGAGAAAUUCUAUUUUUUUUCAACUUCGCAAUAAUCCGCUCUGUGACCUUAUCAAAUUGUUCAACAGCAGUUUUUGUUCAGUAAUCUUCCGGUUUUGUGACAACUCAAAACGUUGGUUAUAUUUUGCGCCAUCUUGAGAACCACCCAGGUGAUCAACUGUAAGAUCCUCUCUGUCACCCAGAUGACCAGACUGGUUCUCCCACGCAUGGUUGCAAGAGGGAACGGUCUGAUCAUCAACAUGUCUUCAGAGGCAGGUGCUCAACCACAACCCAUGCUGUCUCUCUACUCCGCCACCAAGGACAAUGACCCAACACACCUCCAGGCUGUGCAAGGGCUAUUUGACCAAGAAGGAGAGAGAUGGAGUGCUGCAUCAGAUGACCUGGCCUCCAUAAUCACCCAACCUCAACCCAUUUGAGAUGGUUUUGGAUGACUUUGACUGCAGAGUGAAGGAAAAGCAGCCAACAAGCGCUCAGUACGUGUGGGAACUCUCAAGCUGGUUGAGAGAAUGCUAAGUGUGCAAAGCUGUCAUCAAGGCAAAGGGUGGCUACUCUGACAAAUAUAAAAUAUAUUUUGAUUUGUUUAACACUUUUUUGGUUACUCCAUGAUUCCAUAUGUGUUAUUUCCUAGUUUUGAUAUCUUCACUAUUAUUACACAAUGUAGAAAAUAGUAAAAAUAAAGAAAAACCCUUGAAUGAGUAGGUGUGUUCCAACGUUUGACUGGUACAGUAGAUUUUACAAAUAUUAAAAUUGUUCUUCCACGUCGACAGAGUAUUUUGUGUAGCUCAUUUACCAAAAAAAUGACAAUUAAAUACAUUUCAAUCCCACUUUGUAACAACAUGUGGAAAAAGUAAAGGGGUGUGAAUACUUACUGAAGGCACUGUUGUACAUACAUUAUACAUAUUGUUAUACUACUGUGAUUGAUGUAUAUGAUGCAGAAGGAAAAACAACAGUGAAUCUUACUU